UACGGGGGGAGCAAGCGUUGUUCGGAUUUACUGGGCGUAAAGGGCGCGUAGGCGGCGCAACAAGUCACUUGUGAAAUCUCCGGGCUUAACUCGGAAAGGUCAAGUGAUACUGUUGUGCUAGAGUGCGGAAGGGGCAACUGGAAUUCUCGGUGUAGCGGUGAAAUGCGUAGAUAUCGAGAGGAACACCUGCGGCGAAGGCGGGUUGCUGGGCUGACACUGACGCUGAAGCGCGAAAGCUAGGGGAGCAAACAGG
rnacentral:rRNA from 1 species